GGGACAGAGACAGGGGUAAUAAUAUUAUAUUAUACAGUACAACAGACAGGGACAGAGACAGGGGUAAUAAUAUUAUAUUAUACACUACAACAGACAGGAGAGGUAAUAAUAUUAUAUUUUACAGUACAACAGACAUGGACAGGGGUAAUAAUAUAUUAUACAGUACAACAGACAGGGACAGGGGUAAUAAUAUUAUAUUUUACAGUACAACAGACAGGGACAGAGGUAAUAAUAUUAUAUUAUACAGUACAACAGACAGGGACAGGGGUAAUAAUAUAUUAUACAGUACAACAGACAGGGACAGAGGUAAUAAUAUUAUAUUAUACAGUACAACAGACAGGGACAGGGGUAAUAAUAUAUUAUACAGUACAACAGACAGGGACAGGGGUAAUAAUAUUAUAUUAUACAGUACAACAGACAGGGACAGGGGUAAUAAUAUUAUAUUAUACAGUACAACAGACAGGGACAGGGGUAAUAAUAUAUUAUACAGUACAACAGACAGGGACAGAGGUAAUAAUAUUAUAUUAUACAGUACAACAGACAGGGACAGGGGUAAUAAUAUUAUAUUAUACAGUACAACAGACAGGGACAGGGGUAAUAAUAUUAUAUUAUACAGUACAACAGACAGGGACAGGGGUAAUAAUAUUAUAUUAUACAGUACAACAGACAGGGACAGGGGUCAUAUUAUAUUAUACAGUACAACAGACAGGGACAGGGGUAAUAAUAUUAUAUUAGACAGUACAACAGACAGGGACAGAGGUAAUAAUAUUAUAUGAAAUGUAAAUGUAAAUGUCAGUUUGCUUUUCAUAGCCGAUCAUUCAGAAUUAUAGACAGCAGGUGUGGUAGAGAGAGAGAGUCGAGAACAGCAGGUCUGGGACAGGUAGCACGUCCGGUGAACAGGUCAGAGUUCCAUAGCCGCAGGCAGAACAGUUGAAACUGGAGCAGCAGCACAACCAGGUGGACUGGGGACAGCAAGGAGUCAUCAGGCCAGGUAGUCCUGAGGCAUGGUCCUAGGGCUCAGGUCCUCAAAGAGAAGAGAAAGAGAGAGAGACAGAGAAAGAGAAAGAGAGAAAGCGAGAAAGAGAGAGAAUUAGAGAAUUAGAGGGAGCAUACUUAAAUUCUCUCAAGACACCGGUUGAGACAGGAGAAAUACACCAAACAUAACAGACUGACCCUAGCCACCCAACACAUAAACUACUGCAGCAUAAAUAGUGGAGGCUGAGACAGGAGGCGUCAGGAGACACUGUGGCCCCAUCCAAUGAUAUCCCCGGACAGGGCCAACAAGGCAUGAUAUAACGCCGCCUACUUUGCCAAAGCACAGCCCCCACACCACCAGAGGGAUAUUUUCAACCACCAACUUACUACCCUGAGACAAGGCCGAGUAUAGCCCACGAAGAUCUCCCCCAUGCCACUCACCCGAGGGGGGUGCCAACCCGGACAGGAAGAUCAUGUCAAAAACUCAACCCACUCAAGUGACGCACCCCUCCUAGGGACGGCAUGGAAGAGCACCUGUAGGUAUGUAUGGGUAGGUAGGACCAAAGUCAAGGUUCUCGUCAAGAUCCAAGCAGCCGUAUUUAGCACUUACUGAAUUGUAUUUAGUGCUUUUUCUGAGUAGCCAGAGAGUAGAGCAUUGCAGUUUUCUAACCUAGAAGUAACAAAAGCAUGGAUACAUUUUUCUGCAUCAUUUUUGGACAGAAAGUUUCAGAUUUUUUCAAUGUAAUGCCGAUGGAAAAAAGCUGUCCUUGCAACAAUCUUGAUAUGUUCGUCAAAAGAGAGAUCAGGGAGCCUCCCGGGUGGUACAGUGGUCUACGGCACUGCAUCGCAGCGCUAGCUGUGCCACCAGAGACUCUAGGUUUGUUCCCAGGGAGGUCCUUGGGGCGACGCACAAUUGGCCUAGCGUCGUCCAGGUUAGGGAGGGUUUGGCCGGUAAGGAUAUCUUUGUCUCAUCGCGCACCAGCGACUCCAGUGGCGGGCCGGGCGCAGUGCACGCUAACCAAGAUAGCCAGGUGCACAGUGUUUCCUCCGACACAUUGGUGCGGCUGGCUUCUGGGUUGGAGUUGCGCUGUGUUAAGAAGCAGUGAGGCUUGGGUGGGUUGUGUUUCGGAGGAUGCAUGGCUUUCGACCUUCGUCUCUCCAGAGCCCGUACGGGAGUUGUAGCGAUGAGACAAGAUAGUAAUUACUAACAACAAUUGGAUAGCACGAAAAAGGGGGUCAAAAAAAAAAAGAAAGAGAGAUCAGGAUCCAGAGUCCUUCAGUUUUAUUUGAGACGACUGUACCACCAUCAAGAUUAAUUUUCUGAUCCAACAGAAGAUCUCUUUGUUUCCUGGGACCUGGAACUAGCAUCUCUGUUUUAAAGUAAAAUAUUUGCCACCAUCCACUUCAUCAUGUCUGAAAUACAGGCUUCCCGGGAGGGCAAUAUUGGGGCUUCACAAUGUUUCAUUGAAAUGUACAGCUGUGUGUCAUCCGCAUAGCAGUGAAAGUUAACAUUAUGUUUCCGAAUGACAUCACCAAGAGGUAAAAUAUAUAGUGAAAACAAUAGAGGUCCUAAAACGGAACCUUGAGGAACACCGACAUUUACCGUUGAGUUUUCAGAGGACAAACCAUCCACAGAGAUAAACUGAUAUCUUUCCUACAGAUAAGAUCUAAACCAGUCCAGAACUUGUCCGUGUAGACCAAUUUGGAUUUCCGAAUCUCUCCAAAAGAAUGUGGUAAUCGAUGGUAUCAAAAGCAUCACUAAGGUCUAGGAGCACGAGGACAGAUGCAGAGCCUCGGUCUGACGCCAUUUAAAGGUCAUUUACCACCUUGAUGAGUGCAGUCUCAGUGCUAUGAUAUUAUACUAGGAAGCAGGUGUAGUUAGUCAGUUUAAUGAUAUCUGACAUGGAAUGAUACAAAACAAGAGAAGCGUCUGACAUGGAAACACAAACAAUACUACCUGAUGGACAGUGCUAGAAAAAUGCUAAGUAAUGAAUGUAGUAAUGUAGUUCAGGUGUGACUGAUGAUAGGGCCCAGAUGUGAGUAAUCAUGGUUGCCAGGUGUGACUGAUGAUAGGGCCCAGAUGUGAGUAAUCAUGGUUGCCAGGUGUGACUGAUGAUAGGGCCCAGAUGUGAGUAAUCAUGGUUGCCAGGUGUGACUGAUGAUAGGGCCCAGGUGUGAGUAAUCAUGGUUGCCAGGUGUAUUUGAUGAUAGGGCCCAGAUGUGAGUAAUCAUGGUUGCCAGGCGUGGGUAAUGAUGGUUGCCAGGUGUAAGUAAUCAUGGUUGCUAGGUGUGAGUAAUCAUGGUUGCUAGGUGUGUGUAAUGAUGGUUGCCAGGUGUGUGUAAUCAUGGUUGCUAGGUGUGUGUAAUGAUGGUUGCCAGGUGUGCUUAAAGAUUGCCUGCCAGGACUGGUGGUUAGUAGACCGGUGACAUCGUGCGCUGGAGCGGGAGAAUGGGAGUAGACGUAACAUUACCCCCCUCCCAACGAGCGGCUCCAGACGCAGGACGACACCGGCCGGGGGCACCGCCCCGAGAGAGAAGAGCGGGCCAGUCCGGAUGACAAAGAUGGAAAACUUGGGUGAUGUUGGGAACUAGAUUGUCAUCCACCGG
ensembl:lncRNA